rnacentral:rRNA from 1 species
AUGCCCAUCGGGAUGGUUUGGCUUCUCGACUAUGUCUACGACACAAAACACCGGGCCUACAUGAUGCGCGAGAAGGAGAUGAAGCUUGAACCUUUGAAGAUUCGGUAUCACGGGGUCUCUGGUCUUGCCAUGCCUUACAAUGAGCGGUACACACCGUACAUCAAGCAGGCAGGACUACUCCAGGGGAUUCAGUUUGUCAGUCGGUCCAUGCCGAAUCUGAACGUUCCACUGGUGUCCGCUCUUGCUGAUCAGUGGAGGCCGGAGACGCACAGUUUCCAUCUUCGGACUGGGGAGAUGACCGUGACGCUCGAGGAUGUCUCGUUGAUCACCAGUCUUGCUAUCGACGGAAUGCCUCUCUGUAUGAGCACCGAUUCUGAUGGGUGGCGCGAGCAGAUGAUUGCUCUUAUCGGUAUGGCUCCUACCGAGGUUGAGGCUGAUGUAGAGGAGGGAGAAGAGAAGAAGAAGAGGGAAAAGAAAGCAGCCAGACCUGCUUUCACGUGCAUUCAAAAUAACUUUGCGACGUGCGCUCCGGAUACCACUGAUGAUGUGAUCCAGACACAUGCUCGUGUCUACAUGUGGUACGUUGUGUCGAGGACUUUGUUUCCAGUAAUUUUAGUGAUGUUCAAGCAAAUUAUGUGA